CAGGUACCCAUGUCUCUAGUUGUUCAUAGGUUAUUCAUUGUAUCUUGUAAUACAGAGAGAAAUGUGCUGAAAAAACUGUGUUUUUUCAAACAACUAAGCUGAUGGAGCUAUCCAUUUUCUUUGUCAUAAUGAAAGUAAGGAAACUAUUUUAUUUGUACCCACCAAAUUUUUUGUAAUUAACUAAGCAAGGGUUCCCACAUCAUGG
rnacentral:misc_RNA from 1 species